GGGAGAUUGGGUAAGUGUCUGUCAGAUUGGUUCCUUACAGAAAAAGAUUUGUUUGGCUGGAAACACAUAGCGCGUGAGCGUACAGGCUGAAUACAUGGCGGGAAGCCACUGCUGUGAUAGAUAUAAACCAAAUGUGUUUUACUAGCGCUUACUGCUUUACGUGCUUUACUUACCUGCUUACCUUACCUGCUUUAGCGCUUACUGGUCCUUCACGUGCAGUAAUGCGAUGUUCCAUAAACAGCAUGUCAGGAUUUUUGGUUUUGACAAUUUUUACCAAUAAAGCCUGAAUUUCAACUCUUGCGCUCGACGUAAUGUUACGUCAUUCAAGAUAUUACCUAAUAUCGCAAGCGUAGGAAUGAACUAUAUUACGUAUUGCACAUACGUACUGGCAUAUAACAAUGUGCAUUGUAUAUUCCACAUAUGCUGAAGGAUGACUGUGAAAGCUUAAUUGCAAUCAUUUAUUUCUGCUCGUCAAAGGCUGAAAAAACAUUUCCUUUGUCCAAGGUAAAAAAUUAAUAAUAACACUUGGCUCUACGGAGAUGGAAGCUCAUGGCCAAGAAAAUAUGGAUUCAUAUAUGAUGCUGAACCACUUAGGCAAAACUGCAGCAGUAAGUUGUAAGAAGCCCAAUAACAUUCAUGUGCUUAUUUCGGCCGGCAACCCUAGCUUCACGGGCCUAAUGAGUUUUUAGAUUAAGCAUUCAAAUUCGUCACAAGUAUCAUUGAAAAUGCAACUGUUCAUUUUCCUUUGCGACCUGUUCCACCAAAUUAGCAAAAUUACAGGAUACGUGUGUUCUCAAUAACGUGAUUACAUCAUUCUUUCACCAGAGCCGGUGUUUCUUUCUAGAUCAAGGCGAACCAGCGUAUUGGAAUUUCUCGUUGUAAUGGCAGUACGCAUCACAGCAUUUCUUCUCAUGUGUGCCGUGUUCGCCUACGGCAUCAUGGCCAUUGCAGCCAAUCAGGAUGCUACAGCACGAGGAAGUUCGGUGCCAGCGAGUGCUGCCAAUGAGGACGCAAGAAUCGGAACAGCUGCAAUCCAAAGCUUGGCGGGUGGAGGCCUCGGCUGAAACUCACGUGAUUGGCUGCACCGAGAGGGCAGCGCGAGGGAGCCGACUUUUGUCGCGUGCUCGCUUUAUUCUUUAGGGAGUUCAUUUUUCUCCGCUCAAAUGGAAUAAAGUUCGAUACAUUA